CCGCGUGAGAGUGAAGAAGUUCCGAUUCGUAACUCUGUUGUAGAGAAGAACAAGACGUAGUAACUGACGUCCCUGACGUAUCUUACAGAAAGCACGCUACUAGUGCAGCCGCGGUUAUUACGGUGGCAGCGUUGUUCUGAUUUUAUUGGGAUAAAGCGAGCGCAGGCGGUUUCUUAAGUCUGAUGUGAAAGCCCCUGGCUCAACCCGGGGAGGGGUCAUUGGAAACUGGGAGACUUGAGUGCAGAAGAGGAGAGUGGAAUUCCAGUAGCGGUGAAAUGCGUAGAUAUAUGGAGGACACCCAGUGGCGAAGGCGGCUCUCUGGUCUGUAACUGACGCUGAGGCUCGAAAGCGUGGGGAGCAAACAGGAUAGAUACCCUGGUAGUCAGCCGUAAACGAUGAGUCUAAGUGUUGGAGGGUUCCGCCCUUCAGUGCUGCAGCAAACGCAUUAAGCACUCCGCCUGGGGAGUACGACCGCAAGGUUGAAUCAAAGGAAUUGACGGGGGCCCGCACAAGCGGUGAGCAUGUGGUUUAAUUUGAAGCAACGCGAAGAACCUUACCAGGUCUUGACAUCCUUUGACCACUCUAGAGAUAGAGCUUUCCCUUCGGGGACAAAGUGACAGGUGGUGCAUGGUUGUCGUCGCUCGUGUCGUGAGAUGUUGGUUAAGUCCCGCAACGAGCGCAACCCUUAUUGUUAGUUGCCAUCAUUUAGUUGGGCACUCUAGCACUGCCGGUGACAAACCGGAGGAAGGUGGGGAUGACGUCAAAUCAUCAUGCCCCUUAUGACCUGGGCUACACACGUGCUACAAUGGGAAGUACAACGAGUCGCUAGACCGCGAGGUCAUGCAAAUCUUUUAAAGCCUCUCAGUUCGGAUUGCAGGCUGCAACUCGCCUGCAUGAAGCCGGAAUCGCUAGUAAUCGCGGAUCAGCACGCCGCGGUGAAUACGUUCCCGGGCCUUGUACACACCGCCCGUCACACCACGAGAGUUUGUAACACCCGAAGUCGGUGAGGUAACCUUUUUGGAGCCAGCCGCCUAAGGUGGGAUAG
rnacentral:rRNA from 1 species